UAUAAGCUCAUUUCUUAUCUAAAAACUCUGCUGAAUUCUCCGUUCGAGCGCUCUAUUCUUGUUGAGGCAGAGAACUGACUUGAGCGUCGGAGGGUCUUGCCGGAGCAACCCCACCUCCGGUUUAGACUUCCCUUACAGGUCCCGACGGUGACUGCGGCUUCCCUGACUCCAGCUUCUCCGACGCAAGCGGAUUUUUGCACCAACAGGAUUGGCGCUAGAGGAAGGGAUUGAACCUUCGCAGUACCCUUGUUCUUAAAGGAGCGCUCAACGGAUCCACUUCCGGCCAUCUUUUCCGGCAUCCACUCCUCCUUCCCUCAUCUGAUGCCUUCUCAUGAGGCCUUUGCACAACUGCCUCCGGCUAUGGUCGCCGAUAAGGAGUGGCCGGAUGACCGGCCCCUGUCG
rnacentral:lncRNA from 1 species